rnacentral:rRNA from 1 species
AUUGAACGCUGGCGGCAGGCCUAACACAUGCAAGUCGAACGGUAACAGGAAGCAGCUUGCUGCUUCGCUGACGAGUGGCGGACGGGUGAGUAAUGUCUGGGAAACUGCCUGAUGGAGGGGGAUAACUACUGGAAACGGUAGCUAAUACCGCAUAACGUCGCAAGACCAAAGAGGGGGACCUUAGGGCCUCUUGCCAUCGGAUGUGCCCAGAUGGGAUUAGCUAGUAGGUGGGGUAACGGCUCACCUAGGCGACGAUCCCUAGCUGGUCUGAGAGGAUGACCAGCCACACUGGAACUGAGACACGGUCCAGACUCCUACGGGAGGCAGCAGUGGGGAAUAUUGCACAAUGGGCGCAAGCCUGAUGCAGCCAUGCCGCGUGGAUGAAGAAGGCCUUCGGGUUGUAAAGUACUUUCAGCGGGGAGGAAGGGAGGAAGGUUAAUACCUUUGCGCAUUGACGUUACCCGCAGAAGAAGCACCGGCUAACUCCGUG